AUACCAUGAUGAGGGCACUUCCCUAACAGCUCUUUGAAUACCUCCCAUGCAUCAUACAAUGAUUCCCCUUCAGUCUAAUAGAAAUAAUUAAUCUCCCAUCUGAACUU